AUUUUUUAAUUAGUAUGGGUAUAGUUAGUAAUUAUGUGACUGCAAGAAGCAAUAGCUUGUGAGAAAAAAUGUCCAAUAUUUCACUUCCAAGGAGUUGUAGUUUUUCUUACGGACCAAAGACAAGCCCAUGGGUUAAGGGUCCGAUCGUGAGUAACUGCCAUCUCUUUGGAACGAACGAACCCAAGAAAAAACCGCCAUCUAGGGUUUUAAACUAAACCCUGCAACUGUUAAUCCUUGGACCAAUUUCUCAGUGCGCUUCGAUGGAGAAUCCAAAGAAGAAGAAGAAAACCAGUCAAAAUCCUCUCUCGGCGUCGUUCCCAAUGAGGCCUCCGUCACUGCCGUUGCGCGCCUCGCUGCGGCCAAGGGUGACGCCGAUUAUGCCUUCGAGUUGGUGAAGGGCAUGGGCAAGUACAACAACGCUACCCCGAGGCUGCGAACCUACGAUCCUGCGUUGUUCUGUUUCUGUGAAAUGCUAGACGCGGAUAAGGCCUACGAGGUGGAGGAGCACAUGAAUGGCGUUGGGGUGAGUUUGGAGGAGGCGGAACUCGCCGCGCUUUUGAAGGUGAGUGCGCGAAGUGGUAGAGUGGACAAGGUGUAUGAGUAUUUGCAUAAGCUUAGAAGCUGUGUGAGGUGUGUUAGUGAGUCCACUGCGGUGGUUGUUGAGGAGUGGUUUUGUGGUGCCAAGGCCUCUGAGGUUGGUGAGGUGGAAUUUGAUGUGGGGCAGGUCAAAGAGGGGGUUUUGCGGAAUGGGGGAGGGUGGCAUGGUCAGGGAUGGAUUGGUAAAGGGGAUUGGGCCGUCAACAGAACGAGUGUUGGUGCCGAUGGACAUUGUUGUUGUUGUGGGGAGCAAUUGGUUUGUGUUGAUAUUGAUGAUUCGGAGACGGAGAAGUUUGCAGGGUCUGUUGCUGGCUUGGCCUUGGAACGAGAGGUCAAGGCCAAUUUUAGUGAAUUUCAGGCCUGGCUUGAAAAGCAUGACUCUUAUGAAGCUAUAGUGGAUGGAGCAAAUGUUGGGCUCUACAAACAAAAUUUUGCUGAUGGUGGAUUUAGCAUUUCUCAGCUUGAUUGUGUUGUAAAAGAACUUUACAAUCAGAGUGGGAAUAAAUGGCCGGUCGUUGUGCUGCACAAUAAGCGCCUAAGAGGGCUAAUGGAAAAUCCUUCCAGCAGGAAACUGGUGGAGGAGUGGAUGAAUAAUGGUGCACUGUAUACAACUCCUAAUGGGUCCAAUGAUGAUUGGUAUUGGCUCUUUGCCGCAGUAAAACUUAGGUGUUUGCUUGUGACAAAUGAUGAAAUGCGAGAUCACAUAUUUGAACUCAUAGGAAGUAACUUUUUUAACCAGUGGAAAGAAAGACAUCAGGUUCACUACACUUUUAUUAAAGGAAACCUAAAGCUUCAGAUGCCUCCAUCAUAUUCAUUGGUUAUCCAGAGGGGUAACACUGGAAUAUACUUGCAAAUGCUUGGUGAAAUGGUGCUUGCUCUGACAUUUGAGCAAGAUACUCACGAUUUAUUUACUAGGGUAUGGCUUAACUACAUAUGCUUCGGAUACCCUUUCCAUCUACCAAGGAAUAUAAAGAUGCCUGAGCAGGAGCAGUAAACAAACCUACGACGCAAAGAUACCUUGGAUGCUCUUUCUAUCUACCCAAUUGGCCAAUGUGUGUGGGAUGUGACACCCUUCCAAACCCAUAGGAAUUUCAAGAUGCCUAAGCACGAUUUUUCUACCCUUUUUUUAUUAUCAAUUGCUUGUUUUUACCUCUUAAUUAGUUUCAUAUUACAAAAAUAGCGUAGAAACCGGUGAAGUUGUAUGUUUGGAAAUUGAAGUUGGAUAUCUGAUGAUUGUUAUUGUAAGGAACCGCACGUUCCUUAUAUUUUUAAGAAAAGGAGAUGGGGAAGGUGGGCGGUUGCAUGCUUGAAGUGGUGGAGGAGGGGCUUCAAGUGGUGUGGACGGCUGGUGAGUGGUGGGUCUCUCCACUUUGACUCCAGCCACCAGAAGCAUUAUUGUUCCACUAUGAAGCGCUCCAACCACCAUGAGACCACCUUCAUCACCUUCUUAAGUGGGCAUGGCACCGAGGAAGCAAAGGAGAUGGCUAAGGUUCGUCCAGCAACACACAAAAGGAGAUUCACUUCUUCAUUUUAAGGAUUCUUGAAGGAGGAAAGAAGAAGAGAGGGAGAGCUGGACACUGUAGCAGAGGACUGGAACGGCAGAGGAGGAACACAGUGCAGAGAUUGAUUCAAGGUUUGCAAGGAAGUCUUCAAGAGUUGGAGCAAUCAUGUCCAUAAAAAAUUUCAACAACCUCUUCAACAAUGGUCAUCAAAGAAUAGGAGUUGCACUAUAUGGCAUUAUCUGGCUCCAAGUUUUAUUUGGUCUUUCUCGACCACAAAGGUAAAACAACUAAAUUCCCUUUCAUUGAGAAUUUGUGUAUCUAUACGCAUGAUUUUGUUGGUUAGGAAGUUAAAGUAAUUAGACCUUUUAUGUUC